UCACUUACGAGACUCAACAUCCCGAACCUAUCUUCUAUGUCUCUCUCACACCCACAGUCCCACGGCGCGGCCUCUCUCAUUUUCUCACCAAAUCGCCAAUAUUGCCCAACGUCGGUAGCCGAUUUUCCAUGGUCAAGGGUCAUCGUUUCAAUUGGAUAAUCUCGCGGUCUUGUAUCUUCAUAGGUUAUGUGGCGACUGAAGACCCAGAAGAAUUUUUAGAAAAAGAAAGAAAUAAUUUCAGAGGAAGAGAGAAAUUUAGAGAAAGAAUGAUUUAGAUUUGAAUUGUGGCGACCGAAGACCCAGAAGAACAGGCGCGCAAUAGUCGUCUCUAGUAUUUCUUUCAUCGUUUUGGGCAAGUCUUGGAGGGGUUUUUGGCAGUCAGAAUAACGGUCAAGAAGAAAAAGAAGAAGACUUAGAAAUGGCUUCAAAAGCUGUUGUUCAAGAACAACCCAGUGGCAACAAUAGUAAAUGAAAAUAAUCCAAUUUUAUAACACCGAUCAUAGUUUGGACUGAUUUUUGAAGGGAUUAUUGAUCAAUUUUGGGAUGCACUCUUUUUCUUUCUUUAAGUUGAUCAAUUACUACUGCAGACCAAUCAGACGAAAAGAUUAAUAUCAAUUAAGUUAGGUUAUUUAAGUAUUAUAUGAUAAGGAUAGCAUUGCAAGAUUAACUGACCCUUCUUAGUUGAUAUUGGAUAAGUGGUGUCAUUCUAUUAUGUGGUGGGAGUUUGAGUAAAGUGUUUCAUUCUUAGAGUUGCAGCAGGCAUAUUGGGACGGUUGAUUAAUGAGUAUUUUAGUGUUUUUAGUGUUUCAUCAAUCUGCUCAAGUUGGGAUGAGUAUUCUAUUGUAACUUUUUUUUCUGGGAACAUUAUCUCUAUCCUCUUUUUGAUGGAAGAAUGCAUCUCUUUAGAAGUUCAUGCUGUAAAUGGAAGUCAUUGUUGAAUAAUACUUCGCUCAUCUCUCUUCUCACUUCAUGUCUGUGAAAUAGGUUGAGUAAUACACUUAAAUUUGGAGGCGGCUAAAUUAUCGGACAUGGGAUGGAUGAUUGUUGUGUUGUGGUUGAGGCUGAAAAUCUGAUUGUUAUCGAUUGGUUUUUCCACAUUUGUUGUUAUACAUGGUGUUAACUAGAAGGAGAGUUGAAACAGGGUGAAGUAGGGGAAGUGUGGUAAGAGUUGAGAAGGGGAGGAAAUGGCUGAGAUUGCUACUGUCUGAAGUAGGGAGGUCAAAGUCACUAGAAGGAGUUUCUACUGUGCAGCAGCGGUAGUGCCAACCUGGGGAAGCAUUGGCUGAAUGGAGGUCUUCUUAGCACUAGUCAAGUGUAAUCUCUGCACGAUAUUAGUCACAUGUUAUCUCUGCAUUUUUGUCUUACACUACCUUGAGGUGUUCAUCACAUGAGAAAUCAAGAUGCUGGAUUGAGAAGGAAAAUCUGCAGACAGAUGCAGGGAUUGAUACAGAAAAACUAUUAACAAGCCUGAAGUGAUUGAAAUUAUAUUGCUCGUAUUUAUUGGAAGUUAGGGUGAUUCUUUAACUCUUGUUAUUUAUUGACCUUUUUUACUUAUGUAAGAAAGAAAAACAUGCCUAUAUUUUUCUUUGCUUUUAGAAUUUUGGAUCUGGAUUUUGUACAGAUAUUGUUACAUUUUCAAGCUCAGUUAAGAAUUAUUAUUGGAGUUAUUUGAGA